rnacentral:rRNA from 1 species
CACCGCGGUUAUACGAGAGGCCCAAGUUGAUAAAUGCCGGCGUAAAAUGUGGUUUAUACACUAAUUUACUAAAGCUAAACACCUUCAAAGCUGUUAUACGCUUAUGAAGACAGGAGACUCCCCCACGAAAGUAGCUUUAAAUAAUAUUAUACCACGAAAAUUAGGAAA